CUAAUACCGGAUAGGACCUUCCGUCGCAUGGUGGGGGGUGGAAAGUUUUUCGGCUGGGGAUGGGCCCGCGGCCUAUCAGCUUGUUGGUGGGGUGAUGGCCUACCAAGGCGGCGACGGGUAGCCGGCCUGAGAGGGCGACCGGCCACACUGGGACUGAGACACGGCCCAGACUCCUACGGGAGGCAGCAGUGGGGAAUAUUGCGCAAUGGGCGGAAGCCUGACGCAGCGACGCCGCGUGGGGGAUGACGGCCUUCGGGUUGUAAACCUCUUUCGUCAUCGACGAAGUCCCCGGGUUUUCCUGGGGGUGACGGUAGGUGGAGAAGAAGCACCGGCCAACUACGUGCCAGCAGCUGCGGUAAUACGUAGGGUGCGAGCGUUGUCCGGGAUUAUUGGGCGUAAAGAGCUCGUACGCGGUGUGUCGCGUCGGUCGUGAAAACCUGCGCUCAACUGUGGGCGUGCGGUCGAUACGGGCAUCACUGGAGUUCGGCAGGGGAGACUGGAAUUCCUGGUGUAGCGGUGAAAUGCGCAUAUAUCAGGACGAACACCUGUGGCGAAGGCGGGUCUCUGGGCCGAUACUGACGCUGAGGAGCGAAAGCGUGGGGAGCGAACAGGAUUAGAUACCCUGGUAGUCCACGCCGUAAACGGUGGGCGCUAGGUGUGGGGGCCAUUCCACCGUCUCUGUGCCGCAGCUAACGCAUUAAUCUCCUCCUCUGGGGACUACGGCCUCUAGGUUAUAACUCGAAGGAUUUGACCGGAGCCCGCACAACCGCCCGAGCAUGCGGAUAAUUCGA
rnacentral:rRNA from 1 species